rnacentral:rRNA from 1 species
AUUGAACGCUGGCGGCAGGCUUAACACAUGCAAGUCGAGCGGAGUGAUGGUGCUUGCACUAUCACUUAGCGGCGGACGGGUGAGUAAUGCUUAGGAAUCUGCCAUUUAGUGGGGGACAACAUUCCGAAAGGAAUGCUAAUACCGCAUACGUCCUACGGGAGAAAGCAGGGGAUCUUCGGACCUUGCGCUAAAUGAUGAGCCUAAGUCGGAUUAGCUAGUUGGUGGGGUAAAGGCCUACCAAGGCGACGAUCUGUAGCGGGUCUGAGAGGAUGAUCCGCCAAACAGAGACUGAGACACGGCCCAGACUCCUACGGGAGGCAGCAGUGGGGAAUAUUGGACAAUGGGCGGAAGCCUGAUCCAGCCAUGCCGCGUGUGUGAAGAAGGCCUUUUAGUUGUAAAGCACUUUAAGCGAGGAGGAGGCUACUAGUACUAAUACUACUGGAUAGUGGACGUUACUCGCAGAAUAAGCACCGGCUAACUCUGUGCCAGCAGCCGCAGUAAUAC